AUACGGAGGGUCCGAGCGUUAUCCGGAUUUAUUGGGUUUAAAGGGUGCGUAGGCGGUUUUAUAAGUCAGCGGUGAAAUUUUCCGGCUCAACCGGGAUACUGCCGUUGAUACUGUAAGGCUAGGAUAUGGUUGCUGUGGGUGGAAUGUGUGGUGUAGCGGUGAAAUGCUUAGAGAUCACACAGAAUAUCGAUUGCGAAGGCAGCUUACCAAACUAUAUCUGACGUUGAGGCACGAAAGCGUGGGUAGC
rnacentral:rRNA from 1 species